CUUCUUCUUACCCGAGCUCUUUCUCUUCUUCCUCUGCCGAUGCCGAUAAGGUCACCUCCGGCCAUCAUCUCCAUGGAUCAUCACCACCGUUCGAUUCACCACUUCAUUCCGUCCAAAACCAUGCCAACUCAACCCAGAAAUUUGAGGUACACCCCGACCUCUCAUCUCUGCCUUCAUCAGCUGAUCUGUCAAUUCCUCCUCUUCCGGUGAUUUCUUCUCUUGCCAUCACCGUCGCACAACCCCAUAGACGAAAGAGUUAGAACCCAGAAGUUUGGGUAUCGAUGAAGCUCUGUGGACAGCAGUCCCGACGGCUGGGGUUUCCGGAUUCGACUUCGAUAACAAGGAGAAGCUACUAAGUGUGAUUCUGACUUCAGAGGCGGGAAUUUAGGUGGAGUAAAUUGGUGGGAUUGGAUGACUGCUGGGACUUGGAGAGAUAAGGAGUGCAUAUGGGAGCUAUUGUUUCACCAAUGGACCCUUAAGGUAAGCUGGACUUCAGUUUUAAGGAUAGAGUUCGGUGAUUUCUAAGAUUUGGAUUUAGUUUGGUUAGUAAGUUUUGGUAUGUUGCAGCUUUGAACUAUAAGGCUGCUAUGAUUUCUGUUGGAAUGGAAUUCUUGUAAUUAUUAUAGAAUCUGUACAAUUGGUUAAUCCCAUAUAUGUUGAAUGA